UGAAGUAAGUAAGGGCGUACGGUGAAUGCCUUGGUGCCAACAGGCGAAGAAGGACGCGGCAAGCUGCGAAAAGCCUCGGGAAGCUGCAAGCAAGCGAUGAUCCGGGGAUAUCCGAAUGGGGUAACCUGAUCGAGGCAAUACUCGAUCGUUCAUACCUGAAUACAUAGGGUAUGAAACGCGAAACCCGCUGAAGUGAAACAUCUCAGUAAGCGGAGGAAAAGAAAGAGAAAUCGAUUCCGUAAGUAGUGGCGAGCGAAAGCGGAUGGAGCCCAAACCGAAGGUAUUCCUUCGGGGUUGUAGGACCACGUCAUAUUCGACCAUACUGGAUAGUAGAACAGCCUGGAAAGGCUGGCCGGAGAAGGUGAAAGCCCUGUAGACGAAAUCCAGAGUGGGAAUUAGUGGUAUCCUGAGUAAUACAUCACACGUGGAACGAUGUAUGAACCCGCGCGGACCACCGCGCAAGGCUAAAUACUAGUUGGCGACCGAUAGUGAACAAGUACCGCGAGGGAAAGGUGAAAAGAACCGCUGUGAGCGGAGUGAAAUAGAACCUGAAACCGUAUGUCUACAAAGUGUCAGAGCAGAGCAAUCUGCGAUGGCGUGCCUUUUGUUUAAUGAGUCUGCGAGUCAGUGUUUGUGGCAAGACUAAGGGCUUCCGGCCCGGAGUCGCAGCGAAAGCAAGUCCGAACAGGGCGCAAUAAGUCGCAGGUACUGGACCCGAAGCGGAGGUGACCUACCCUUGGCCAGGUUGAAGCAUGGGUAAAACCAUGUGGAGGACCGAACAGGUGAACGUUGAAAAGUUCUCUGAUGAGCUGAGGGUAGGAGUGAAAGGCUAAUCAAACCCCGUGAUAGCUGGUUCUCUUCGAAAUGCAUUUAGGUGCAGCGUCACGUGCUGAUGCGCGGGGGUAGAGCACUGACAAGGCUAGGGGGCACACCCGCUUACCAAACCUUAUCAAACUCCGAAUACCGUGCAAUGGAACGUGGCAGUGAGACAGUGGGGGAUAAGCUUCAUUGUCGAGAGGGAAACAACCCAGACCAGCAGCUAAGGUGCCUAAAUAACGCUCAGUGGAAAGGAUGUGGGAUUACACAGACAGUGAGGAUGUUGGCUUAGAAGCAGCCACCAUUUAAAAAAUGCGUAAUAGCUUACUCAUCGAGUGAUCCUGCGCCGAAAAUGAUUGGCGAUCAAGCGUUAUACCGAAGCUCUGGACUUUGCCGCAAGGCAGAGUGGUAGAAGAGCGUUGCAUGCGCGUCGAAGGGCGAUGGCGACUGACCCUGGAGCACAUGCAAGUGAGUAUGCAGACAUGAGUAACGUUAAGCCGGGUGAAAUCCCCGGCCGCCGUAAACCCGAGGUUUCCAGGGCAACGUGUUUCGUCCCUGGGUUAGCCGGGACCUAAGCCGAGGCCGAGAGGCGUAGGCGAUGGACAUCAGGUUAAUAAUCCUGAGCUCGCAACCCUUAAACUGGGGGGACGCAUGAGAAAAGAUGACUAGGUUAUUGAAUUCCGAGUUGAGUCUACGGACUCAGCGCAUCAUUGGAUCGAGUGCCAAGAAAAGCCCCAGCGUAUGCUAAGCGACCCGUACCGCAAACCGACACAGGUGGGUGGGUAGAAUAUACCAAGGCGUAAGAGUGAAACCUGGUUAAGGAACUCGGCAAAUUAGCCCCGUAACUUCGGAAGAAGGGGUGCCUGCAGCGAUGCAGGCCGCAGAGAAAUGGCCCAACCGACUGUUUAUCAAAAACACAGCACUCUGCAAAGACGCAAGUCGAAGUAUAGGGUGUGACACGUGACCAAUGCCGAAAGAUUAAGGCAAGGGGUUAGCCGCAAGGCGAAGCUCUAAACCCAAGUCCCGGUGAAUGUCGGCCGUAACUAUAACGGUCCUAAGGUAGCGAAAUUCCUUGUCGGGUAAGUUCCGACCUGCACGAAUCGUGAAACGAGUUGGGCACUGUCUCAACCAGGCGCUCAGUGAAAUUGUAGUGGCGGUGAAGAUGCCGCCUACCCGCAGAAGGACGGAAAGACCCUAUAGACCUUAACUGUAAGCUGUCAUUGUUUCUUCGGUUUUAAUGCUCAGAGUAAGUGGGAGACGCUGAAGACGCCCUUUAGGGGGCGUCCGAGUCAUCAAUGAGACACCACCCUUUGAAACUGGAGGAUCUAACCCUGAGCCGUGAAUCCGGCCAGAGGACCGUGUCAGCCGGUCAGUUUUACUGGGGCGGUAUCCUCCCAAAGAGUAACGGAGGAGCGCGAAGGUGGGCUCAGCCCGGUUGGCAACCGGGUGUCGAGUGCAUGGGCAUAAGCCCGCCUAACUGUGAGACCAACAAGUCGAGCAGAUGCGAAAGCAGGCCCAAGUGAUCCGGCGGUAGAAAGUGGAAUUGCCGUCGCUCAACGGAUAAAAGGUACCUUAGGGAUAACAGGCUGAUCACGCCCAAGAGUUCAUAUCGACGGCGUGGUUUGGCACCUCGAUGUCGGCUCAUCGCAU
rnacentral:rRNA from 1 species